GACGAAUGCUGGCGGCGUGCUUAACACAUGCAAGUCGAACGGUAAGGCUCCAGCUUGCUGGGGUACACGAGUGGCGAACGGGUGAGUAACACGUGGGUGACCUGCCCUGCACUUCGGGAUAAGCCUGGGAAACUGGGUCUAAUACCGGAUAGGACUGCACCGUGAGGGUGUGGUGGAAAGUUUUUUCGGUGUGGGAUGGGCCCGCGGCCUAUCAGCUUGUUGGUGGGGUAAUGGCCUACCAAGGCGGCGACGGGUAGCCGGCCUGAGAGGGUGGACGGCCACAUUGGGACUGAGACACGGCCCAGACUCCUACGGGAGGCAGCAGUGGGGAAUAUUGCACAAUGGGCGGAAGCCUGAUGCAGCGACGCCGCGUGGGGGAUGACGGCCUUCGGGUUGUAAACUCCUUUCACCAUCGACGAAGGGUUUCUGGCGGUAGAUGGAGAAGAAGCACCGGCUAACUACGUGCCAGCAGCCGCGGUAAUACGUAGGGUGCGAGCGUUGUCCGGAAUUACUGGGCGUAAAGAGCUCGUAGGUGGUUUGUCGCGUCGUCUGUGAAAUUCCGGGGCUUAACUCCGGGCGUGCAGGCGAUACGGGCAUAACUUGAGUACUGUAGGGGAGACUGGAAUUCCUGGUGUAGCGGUGAAAUGCGCAGAUAUCAGGAGGAACACCGGUGGCGAAGGCGGGUCUCUGGGCAGUAACUGACGCUGAGGAGCGAAAGCAUGGGGAGCGAACAGGAUUAGAUACCCUGGUAGUCCAUGCCGUAAACGGUGGGCGCUAGGUGUGGGUUUCCUUCCACGGGAUCCGUGCCGUAGCUAACGCAUUAAGCGCCCCGCCUGGGGAGUACGGCCGCAAGGCUAAAACUCAAAGGAAUUGACGGGGGCCCGCACAAGCGGCGGAGCAUGUGGAUUAAUUCGAUGCAACGCGAAGAACCUUACCUGGGCUUGACAUAUACAGGAUCGCGCCAGAGAUGGUGCUUCCCUUGUGGCUUGUAUACAGGUGGUGCAUGGUUGUCGUCAGCUCGUGUCGUGAGAUGUUGGGUUAAGUCCCGCAACGAGCGCAACCCUUGUCUUAUGUUGCCAGCACGUUGUGGUGGGGACUCGUAAGAAACUGCCGGGGUUAACUCGGAGGAAGGUGGGGAUGACGUCAAAUCAUCAUGCCCCUUAUGUCCAGGGCUUCACACAUGCUACAAUGGUCGGUACAGUGGGUUGCCAGUCCGUGAGGGCGAGCUAAUCCCGCAAAGCCGGUCUCAGUUCGGAUCGGGGUCUGCAACUCGACCCCGUGAAGUCGGAGUCGCUAGUAAUCGCAGAUCAGCAACGCUGCGGUGAAUACGUUCCCGGGCCU
rnacentral:rRNA from 1 species